rnacentral:lncRNA from 1 species
AUUUAAGGUGCGUGGAUUUUUCAGACCAUGAAUUACUCAUGAAAGGAAUAUUUUGAUCUAAAAAGCGAAAGGAAAAACUUUGUAGGUUCUGAAAGCGAUCAUUAACCCUGAUCUGAUGAUUUAUAAAUAAGUACUUUACCAAGAAAAAUUAACUAGAUUAAAAUGAAGGAAUGAACUUUAAAUAAGUAGUUUGAAUCAAAGCUCGUCCUUUUAUAAUAUGAAAUGGGGAUGUGUGUAGGUUUCCGAUAGCCGAGUUUAUUAUUCGUUAAAUUUCAUUAUACAGCCGCAGGCAGUUUGACCUGCUCCACAAAAAUAUUUGUAUCUUUUUUAAACGGCACUAGGUAUAAAUAAGUAGCUAAUUGUUUUGCUGCUAGGAUUGGAUCCACUCUACCUUCAUUUAGUAUCUACAUAAGACUGUCCAUUGGCAUAUUUCGCAAGCCAGUCCAGUCAGUUCCGAGUAUCUAUUGUUUGUUUGGCCAAUUUCGUGCCACAGUCCAGUCCACAUGACAUGGGAUGACUGUUUUCGUGUUGUUUUCGUUUGUUUGAUGGUUAAACAGUUCGAUUAACACGCACCGCACUGACGUUAACUGGUCUGAACAGAGAUUAUCAAGUCGAAUCAACGGAUUGUAUGUGUCCCGGAGAAGAGGUUCCGUGUGUGGGUUUCUAUAGUGUGAGCUGGAAAUUCUAAGCCAUGCGCUAAUGAAUCUAGUUAAUAUGUCAAUUCCAUAGGAAACUUAAUCACGCUCUCCAUCGGUCGACUUCUGAUUCGAUUUGCGAAAGAUCUCAGCGAGAGGUGUUAAUUGAGGGCGACUCGUUGUUUUUUAGAGAGGGGUGCACAGAGUGCACAAAAUAUACUACAGAGCACAAACCAAAUCCACAUAAGCCACCACCAAAUACAGUUCAAGAUCUUUGACUAGCUUUAUGGGUGUACCUCUUAUAAAAAGAGAUAUAAGAGCUGCUUCCAACAUCUGCUGCCAGAAAACAGAAUAAAAAUUAAUCCCUAGCCACGCGCAUCUCAAAAAAUAAUUGUAAAAGAUUCUCUACUCAUAUAAAAAUAUUAUAAAAGUAAAUAUUAGGAUGCUGGAUAGCCUGACCAUUUUAAAAAGUUCUUUUUGUCGGGGGCAGUGCAAAUAAUUAGCUAACAAAAGCUCGAAAAUAUUGUUUGCAGGCUUCGGUUGUGCUGUACUGGGUUGUGGCUGUGUGUCACUGAGAAAGUUCAACACUUGUCGCAUUCGCCUUGAUAAGUUGCUUGAACUGUCUGAAAGUUCUCUCCGUGAAUCACGAUGAAAAACAG